GACGAACGCUGGCGGCGUGCUUAACACAUGCAAGUCGAACGGUAAGGCCCUUCGGGGUACACGAGUGGCGAACGGGUGAGUAACACGUGGGUGAUCUGCCCUGCACUUCGGGAUAAGCCUGGGAAACUGGGUCUAAUACCGGAUAGGACCACUGCCUGCAUGGGUGGCGGUGGAAAGCUUUUGCGGUGUGGGAUGGGCCCGCGGCCUAUCAGCUUGUUGGUGGGGUGAUGGCCUACCAAGGCGACGACGGGUAGCCGGCCUGAGAGGGUGACCGGCCACACUGGGACUGAGAUACGGCCCAGACUCCUACGGGAGGCAGCAGUGGGGAAUAUUGCGCAAUGGGCGCAAGCCUGAUGCAGCGACGCCGCGUGAGGGAUGACGGCCUUCGGGUUGUAAACCUCUUUCAGCACCGACGAAGCGCAAGUGACGGUAGGUGCAGAAGAAGGACCGGCCAACUACGUGCCAGCCGCCGCUGUAA
rnacentral:rRNA from 1 species